CAGGGAAGGAAAAGAGUAGUGUUGUCCAUGGCGAAGCCCAGAAGGUUGUGACGGAGUUUGAUGCUCCUAAGAAGAAUGGAAGAAACAAGUAUGCCAUUGCUUGUACUAUUUUGGCUUCUAUGACCUCCAUUUUGUUGGGUUAUGGUGAGUUCAGAUGGGUUUUUAUGGGGUGGUUUGUUUUAUGGGAAAAAAAGAAGUAUGUCUUGGUAUAGUUUGUAUAAUUUUUUUUUUCAGUGGAGCCAAACACUAUGAUAUGGUCUUUAGACUCUGUACUGAUUUUUUUUUUAAUUAAUUAAUUAAUUUAAUUUUUUUCUGUGUUUUUGUGUGUUGCAGAUAUUGGAGUAAUGAGUGGAGCGGCCAUAUAUAUAAAAAAGGAC
rnacentral:lncRNA from 1 species